UGUAGAAAAUUAUAAACACUAAGAACCCAAAUGAUUAAUAGAUACGAAUUAAGUUUUAAAAACGUUUAUUAAAACCUGGAGAUUACAAACAUAACUUAAUUAUAAGGGAGAUAAAACGUCACCAAAUCAAAAACUAACUUUUCUUUUGCUAUGCAUACAAAAAAUAAAAAUACAUAAUAUGAUAAACGAUGAGACAUAAGAUUUAUAGCAAUACUUGGAUACUCAAUGCUCAGGGUGUGAACCGUAGGUAAAUGUAACUACUCCCGACAUAGAUAUGAGUCAAAGUCCUUGAGAGCUUGCGAAUUUAGAUUAUAAUAGUUUCAUUAUUUUUUUCCCUUGUUUUUCCAAUCGUCUUGUUUAGAUUUGCUAGCGAAUCAUUAUAACAUAACACAGAACAAUAACAGUAGCACUAUGAUAUACAAGGUGAUCGUCCAAACACUGGGUUAAUAUGUGUUUAUAUUUGACACAUUUAAUUCUUUUAUAUGUUUCUCUUCUAAAUUCAAUGCCUUUUGUAUUUCUCUGAUAUUAUUUAGACGAACAGAUUUUAGUGUAAAUAAUUCCAAAUUGACAAGGAAGUCAUUACCAUGUUUAAACAGAAAACUUAAUAUGGCAGUUCAAUAUUUUUAACGACUAACUUUGGAGAUUAUCACCUUUCAGUUUAAUGGUCUGUAGUAUUAUUACAUUACAUUAUUAUAAUUCUAUAAGGGGUGUUCUCGUCCAGUUUAAUGGAAUUAACGUCGUUUGAAAUAUAUUGACCCGUAUUAUUUUCUUUGCUCGUUACAUAAUUGUGCUAGUUCAGGAUAAAAAAAAAAACGAUCUCAGGUGUGAUCACUUAAAAGGUUUCAUUAAUGGAUGUAGGUAAAGAGUAUAAAUUAUAAUAAUCGUAAUCUUCAGAUUCAGCUAUUUGGGACUUCAAAAAUUAAGUAAAUUUUGUUUUCUUUACUGUAACUAUAAUUUUUUCAAAAAGAAAAACAUUUUCCAUAGUAAGAUCAAAUGGCAAUUUUCCUUUCCUCAGUUGUUUUUCGAACUUUGGAAAAUUUAUUUAAUUGCAAUUAACCUAACAAACGCGCAACAAAACAUAGAAGUUAGUGAUGUAGAACUUAGGGAAAAAGAAAAGCCUUUCUUUCAAAAUCUCUCCUUCACUCUAACUACUAACAACAGAUACUUAGGAAUCAAUUUCGCACCGAACACCUUAACAAUGAAGAAGAAACCUCCUUAUGGAAAACUAUCCAAUGGUAACCGGAAAUAUUCCACAUAGAAGGCUUUGACACACCAAGUCACAUAAAUAUAAUCGAACAUAAAAUACUUGCUAAGGACAAUGUAUCAGGCCAAGCGAAGGACUACAGAUAUUCACAAAUUCACAAAGAAGUCAAUAAACAAAUUCGUCAAUUACGUAAAAAUAAAGUCAUCCGACCAUCUUUUUCUAGAUGGAGUUCACCUUUAUGAAGUGAGACACAUUCGGAAAAGUCAAGUGGAGAAUGGUCAUCGAUAAACGAUAAAACAGUAGACAACAAGUACUCUCUGCCCAACUGUCAGUUUAUUUCGCUGCACUUGAUUUGAUCUCCAGCAUCUUUCAAAUCAAGAUGUAUAAGGAUUCCACAGAAAAAACAGCUUUCUCAGUCAAUAAAAAACUCUAGGAGUACACCCGCAUGCUGUUCAGGCUAAGGAAUGCCCCUUCUACUUUUCAGCAUGCCAUGAAUCUGGCCCUAAAUGGCUUAACUCCAUAACAGUGCAUGAUGUGUAUCGACGACAUUAUCAUUUAUGAAACAUCUGAAAAACAAACUUCCUAGGACACGUAAUCAUUAGAGAAGGAAUUAAAACCAACCCGGAUUAUGACGUAACCUCCAUCAACGCCCUCAGGCGUUCCCAAGGUUACAAAACAUAGAUAGAUCGUAUACGCACCGAUUACGAAGAAGCAGAACCUGGUAGGGACUCUUCGGAGCUCGCUGCCCUCCAUAACAAUUACACCUGCUACCACCGAAUACGACACCUUCACCUCGGAAAUCCCUGAAGAUCUCUUGGUCCCCACGGAUGUCUCCGAUGGUAGCUCACCGGAGCCGAGCACACCACCUCUCCUUCAGGUCACAACCACGGACAACAACAACACAUCCAUCCAGGCUGUUGAUGAUCCGAUUGCUGAAUACCUACGACUGCUACUGUCUGAUGAAUUCACCAAUACAGAGGACAUCUCUCUAUUAUACAUCCACACCUUCAGUCAAACGCCAUUCUUUCUUCGCUUACGGUGUAACGGGAGGACAACAAACGAACGUGCGAAGAUCCCCCAACAUGCGAUGACACUAGCUCAUCCACUAUCCAAACGUCGGGCCAGAAUUGCCCGCUAUCGACUUACUCAGGAGCUCUACAAGUCCAAUACAAUCAUUCUGUCCCAAAAGAUCAUCGAUGGCCUGGAUCUUGAACAACCACCGACCACACCCAUCCAGAUGAUCUCCUUCAAACAAAUUCUCGGCUUUUCGUCAUCCCAAAAGGAGUGGCGAACCUAGAAAACAUCAACAACUGGAGGCCGAUCACCGUCGCCCCACUCCUGAUCAGAAUCUUCCAUCGUAUCCUGACCAAGAGACUCGCCACACUUACUCUCAAUCGGUCCCAGAGAGGUUUCAUCUCUCUUGACGGCACCCUGGGCAACGCAACAACGUUACUUUAUGAAACCAUAUCAAACACCACCGAGAACAUACCAGGCCCUACAUCACCACCCUCGAUCUGCACAAAGCUUUCGACACCGUCCCAUACCCCUCAUCGAUGGGCCCUCGUCCGUCUGAGCGUAGAUCUCCGCUUCACUAGAUAUGUCAUCGCUUCAUUGACGGAUUGUACUACCACUUAUUUCCUGCGGCCAACACACCUCGCCGUCAAUUAAGAUCGAACGUGGCGCCAAACAAGGGGACCACAUCUUCAAUGCCGUUGUGGACGACCUGGUCCUCAAGUCGACAUCACUGGACGACCAACAACAUCUGGUCCGAAUGGUCGACUGUUUCAUAUACCAUGUAUAUUGUGUUGUUUUUUUAACCACUGAUUUGUUUAUCAACUUAAUUGCAUUAAUUACCAGCAAGGAAACCAAUAUUGAUUAGUGAAAUAGUAUAAAAGCUGAUAUGAACUCGCACAAAGCAAAAAUGAUUGAUUCAGAUUAUAAUUUUUUUGCACCCAAGCUUAGCGGAAAAAUUUAUUGUAGUGAUGGUGGCGGUGGUAGUUCCACCGAUGCCACCAUUCAUUUACCUUGGUGGUGCAGGUGGGUAGCGAUAUUAUAUGAGAGACCACCAAAAUUUACUCGAAGUUUGGAAAAUGUAAGUAAACGAAUACUUUUAUUAUAGCCAUUAACAUUCAUACAAUUUUAUCUUAUUUACAGAGCCGA
rnacentral:lncRNA from 1 species